UUUUUUUUUUUUUGUUUGUUUGUUUGUUUUGUUUUGUUGUUUUUUUGUUUUUUGUUUUGUUUUACAGAAAAGCCUCAGCAGACACCGUCCAGCAGAUAGGCGUGGCCAGGGCGUACGCGUCCCGGUGUUCAUUUCCAGGCAGCGCCUCGGGAUUCGCGACGUGAAUCAAGGUCCUGUUUGACAUGUAAACAGCAGUAAAAGCCGGUGUCUUUCUAAACACCGAGAGAUUAAAUGUCGCCGAACCUGAUGGGCCAGCGUACCGGGAUCCCCCCCGCCCCCCAAGAGGAUAGGUUCGCCUUUUGGAAGAUCCUUGCCGCUGGGAGCAGCUUCCCUGGGAAACCCCCCUGGGGAGCCGCGGUUUGACCCGGUGUCGGCGGACAGGGAUUUGCCUAUCCGGGGCCUCUGCGAUGUCCCAGCAAGCCCUGAUUCCGGGACGUGGUGUAAUUUUAGAGUUUGCUAAUGAGCUUGCCUGUGUGCCCGGCACACAGUGUGUGCCUUGAGGAUUGGCAGUGCAGGCUGGUAAUCCUGCUAACCUGGCCCUGGCAGGUGAUGACAACUCCUUUAAUUGUUCUAGGAUUGAGAGCUGGCUUCUUGCUAUGCACAGAGCCUGGCGUGGAUGAGUAAAAUGAGGGAGAAAAUUAUUUUUGCUAAUAAUUCUUUUCCAUUCUACCUUGAUGGUGGCUGUCGGCAUGCUCCCCUCUGCAAGCUUAGGCACCGUGCUGGACCUGUCAGCUGUGGGAUCCAAGGCUUAGGUUUGCUGGGACAUAAAACUGUGAUAAAACAUUUAUGUUCCAGUAAGCGACACCUCUCUGAUAGUUAUUUAAAGUCUCUGUCUGCAUUGUUCAGAACUAUUUCCUUUUUCCUCUAAGCAACCUAGAGUAGGAAGCUGACGGUCCCUCAGGUAACCCGCUUUCACCUCGCUGGAAGCCUCGCCUGAUGUUGGAUUGGAGGCCAGCAGAACCCACAGAGGAUACUCCGAGUGCAGCAGACAGCAGAGAUGUGCAUUGCUGGAAUCCAGAGUGUUUCGUAAUUUGGCAGCCACUUGCUGAAAGCCCUGCAGAUACAAAACAACACUUAUUUCAAGUCUUGAGAAACAUCUACUAAGUAGAAGAAAAAAGCAUUUAGAGCGUGUUUCACCUCUAUAUGUGCUGACAAGAUCAGAAGUGCAGGGUGCCAGCAUGACUGUGACUGUGUUGAACAAUGCACACCAAUGCUUUCAGAAAUACAGUGGGAUCCUCAAGCUGUAUGCAAAAGACAAGAAGGAGAUGACCCUAUUCAGUGUGAUGAUUUUUCUUUCACUGCUACAUACGUAAAAGUGUCUGGAAAUCUAUUAUCCAAGGGACACAAAAGCAGCUUUUUGACAGGCUGCUCUUCCUGCUAAAACCUGGAAAGAGCAAUUUAUAUUAGGAUUGGAAUUCACUUCAGGCUUUACUGCUAUUUGUCACCACUCAGGAAACCCAUCCCUAGCUCUAGGAGAACACUCAAUCCCUGCUGACAGCCUGGAAGAGGAAGAGAAAAUAGCAGAGCUGCAGCUAUUAAGACCAACAGGCAAAUAUUUUAUUCAAACUCAACUUUUUCUUCCCGAGUUACUUUUAAAGAAUAUUUUUCUGUUUGUGGGAAUGUGAA